ensembl:lncRNA
CCAAGGCGGAGGCGGGAAAUUUCCGCGCAGGGGGAGCUCGGAGAUCGCGCCGACCUGGGUCCCUAUACAGGCGCUGCGUGCCCUUGGACAAGUGGCUUUCCCUCUCUGAGUCCCAAUUUCCUCCUCUGUAAAAGUAGUAGAGGGUGUUCGCGGGGCUGGAUUGAGUGAGAUCUGACAGGCAACGCGCCCCGCCCGCAACAGGAGCGCAGCAAAUGGGCAGGCGCUCCGCCCCUCAGUCUCCCUGUCUGUGAAAUGGGAACCCGGUCGAGGAGGGCGGGGAACCCAGGAGCCCCCGGACCGCGGUGAGGAGCGCUGGACGAGGGGCGCCCCUUCUUCCCUCCCUCCCUCCGGCCUCCUCUGCCUCGCCGGCACCGCCCCCUCCCGGCUUUGGAAGCCGCCAGUCGGCCAGCGCGCAUGCCCGGGGCGGGGCGCGAGGCGGGAGCGCGGAGCGGGCGCGGGGGACGGCGGCGCGGAGUCCGCGGGUCCGCCCGCNGGGCUCGCGCACCAUGCGUGGCUAGUGCCCAGCGUGCGCCCGGGGUGUGUGUGUGCGCGCCGCGGCCGGGGGCGGCGGGUGUCCAUUUCCAGUCUCCUCGCCGGGGCGGGGCGGGGGCGGGUCCCGCAGUCGGGGGCCGGGCACUGGAGGGGCCCUGAGGGCCGGCCAGCCCCGUGUGUAGGACCGGGACACCGCGCCCGGCCUCGCCUCGUGCGGCCGCUUUGUUCGACAGGGCUGUGCGGGAGGGGACGCUUCCCGCCACCGCGGGGAAGGGGGUCCGCCCGCGUUGAUUCAUCUUACCCCCCCCCCAGCGAGCUCUGUGCUCAAGUGGCUCCACCGGAACCACUGGCACCAAUGAGCACACUGGCUAUCGCACGCUCAGUGUGGCACACGCUCUGGGGCACCAUCACACACCCCAUCACACACUUAGCGCGUUCACACACCGGCACCUCACUCCUGGGUGAGGCCACGAUUUUCACACACACAUACACACACACACACACACACACACAAUGGCCCUUGGUCAUUCCAUCACACUCAUACACACGGCCACCUGUGCACCCACCCGGUACACCAAGUGGGAGCCUUGCGUAUACACCCAGGCAUAGCUACGCAUUCACACCAGACAUCGCCUAUCACAGCACACUCAACUCAGCAAUACUCCCUUAUCAAACACACUCACAGCCACCCUGCUCUGGCCUGCUUGUCCCUAUUCACACUUGUUCACGGUGUCCCUCAUGUACCCCUAGACCCUGGAGUAGGCUGUGCACACACUUCCUCUCCCAUACUCUCCAUCUCUUAGCUUGCUGCCCAUCCCCUGCACUCACUCAGCCCAAGUGUGCACACCCCUGCAAAUCUACUCUUGCCCUCCUGUGGAUGAAUGGAUGGAUGGUCUGGGGGCCACUUCUGGAAAAAGAACCAGAUAGCGGCCUGGGGCACAAGUAUGGUCAUAAGGGCAGUUGGGCAGUCCUGAAGACCCAGCCUGGCUCCAGCUUCUUUGAAAGAACUCCAGCCCCCCAGCACCUCAGCCCACAGCCCUCUGCUGCCCACAGGAUGGGAGCC